GUGCUCACUUCUGCAACCCUUGAACUAAAAUUGGAAUGAUACAGAGAAGAUUAGCAUGGUCCCUGCACAAGAAUGACACACAAAUUCAUGAAGUGGCCCAUAGUUUU